rnacentral:rRNA from 1 species
UACGUAGGCAGCAAGCGUUGUUCGGAGUUACUGGGCGUAAAGGGUGCGUAGGCGGCUUUUUAAGUUUGGUGUGAAAUCUCCCGGCUCAACUGGGAGGGUGCGCCGAAUACUGAGAAGCUAGAGUGUGGGAGAGGAAAGUGGAAUUCCUGGUGUAGCGGUGAAAUGCGUAGAUAUCAGGAGGAACACCGGUGGUGUAAACGGCUUUUCUGGACCAUAACUGACGCUGAGGCACGAAGCGUGGUAGCAACAGG